rnacentral:rRNA from 1 species
AACGGGUGGUAAUGCUGGAUGCUCCAACUUGACGCAUGUCUUGUUGGGAAAGUGUUUAGUGGCAUGGGAUGGGGUCGCGUCCUAUCAGCUUAUAGGCGGGGUAAUGGCCCACCUAGGCUUCGACGGGUAGCCGGCCUGAGAGGGCGGACGGCCACAUUGGGACUGAGAUACGGCCCAGACUCCUACGGGAGGCAGCAGGC